ACCCUUGCACGGUGGCAGAAUCGUAGCCAGUGAGGUUUAUCCAAGGCAUGAUUAUUGCUAAUUGAAAACUUUUCCCAAUACCCCACGAUGACAACUUGAAGUACAGUCAGCAUUGGCAAUUUUUGACAGCCUCUACAGAGA